rnacentral:rRNA from 1 species
GACGAACGCUGGCGGCGUGCUUAACACAUGCAAGUCGAACGGAAAGGCCCUGCUUUUGUGGGGUGCUCGAGUGGCGAACGGGUGAGUAACACGUGAGUAACCUGCCCUUGACUUUGGGAUAACUUCAGGAAACUGGGGCUAAUACCGGAUAGGAGCUCCUGCUGCAUGGUGGGGGUUGGAAAGUUUCGGCGGUUGGGGAUGGACUCGCGGCUUAUCAGCUUGUUGGUGGGGUAGUGGCUUACCAAGGCUUUGACGGGUAGCCGGCCUGAGAGGGUGACCGGAGACAUUGGGACUGAGAUACGGCCCAGACUCCUACGGGAGGAAGCAGUGGGGAAUAUUGCACAAUGGGCGGAAGCCUGAUGCAGCAACGCCGCGUGCGGGAUGACGGCCUUCGGGUUGUAAACCGCUUUCGCCUGUGACGAAGCGUGAGUGACGGUAAUGGGUAAAGAAGCACCGGCUAACUACGUG